UACGUAGGGGGCAAGCGUUGUCCGGAAUUAUUGGGCGUAAAGCGCGCGCAGGUGGUGGAUUAAGUUGUGGGUAAAAGGCAAUGGCUCAACCAUUGUAAGCCUGCAAAACUGGUUCACUUGAGUGCAGGAGGGGGGAGUGGAAUUCCCGGUGUAGCGGUGGAAUGCGUAGAGAUCGGGAGGAACACCAGUGGCGAAGGCGACUCUCUGGCCUGUAACUGACACUGAGGCGCGAAAGCGUGGGGAGCGAACAGG
rnacentral:rRNA from 1 species